UACGUAGGUGACAAGCGUUGUCCGGAUUUACUGGGCGUAAAGAGCGCGCAGGCGGUCGUUCAAGUCGAGUGUGAAAGCCCCCGGCUCAACUGGGGAGGGUCACUCGAUACUGCUGUGGCUAGAGUCCAGUAGGGGAGUGUGGAAUUCCCGGUGUAGCGGUGAAAUGCGCAGAUAUCAGGAGGAACACCAAUGGCGAAGGCAGCACUCUGGGACGUGACUGACGCUGAGACGCGAAAGCGUGGGGAGCAAACAGG
rnacentral:rRNA from 1 species